rnacentral:rRNA from 1 species
UACAGAGGUCUCAAGCGUUGUUCGGAAUUACUGGGCGUAAAGGGUGCGCAGGCCGCACGGGCAGUCAAAUGUGUAAUUCAGGGGCUCAACCCCUGCACUGCGCUUGAUACUUCCGUGCUCGAACCUUGGAGAGGAGUCUGGAAUUCUCGGUGUAGCAGUGAAAUGCGUGGAUAUCGAGAAGAACACUUAGGGCGAAAGCAAGACUCUGGACAAGUGUUGACGCUCAUGCACGAAGGCUAGGGUAGCGAACGGG